GAGGAGAGCGGUUGAAUAAUUAUAUAAAGGUGCAUGUUUGAUUCAUGUGCAGGGGUUUGAGCAGCUUCAGAGACCUUGGGGCAAAUCCAUCAUUUACCAGUACAGUUCAAUCAGAGGCAAAGUUGUGUAAUUGCCCUUUAAAUGACCCCAAUUUUACGCACAUUUUCAGGAUCUUUGCACAGACCAUUUUACAAACUAAACGCCACUUUUUCAGGGAUUGUACUGCACUGUUUUUACAACGAUGCAUGAAACUGUAUUUCCAGCUGUUGUAAAUGUCACAAAGAAGCCAUGAGAACAAGCCACUGUCCCCCAGAGGAGCAUAUUAUACAGCCUCACAGAACAACAGUAUUGACUUCUUGAGACGGCUCUAUAAAUAGCAGCGAUGCCUGUUUCCCUGGGGCUCCUCGCUGCGCCCUAAUGACUCUCUGCUCCCCCUCAAAGGGCAGAAUAACCUAAAUUCACCACAGUGCCAUCUCGCCACCAUCUCAGAUUAUCUCUUUGAAGGACGGAGCAGAACACAUUAACAGCUUUACGCCGGUGUCCAAACACACGCUCGACGGCUGCUGUUCUUUGUUGUGACACAGAGGCCUGAGAUGCUGUACGCCAUCAUCAUCACGUCGGAAACUAAUUAGUGAUUCUGCUGCAUCUCCUCUGGUGUGUUUCACAAAGGCAAGACAAGGCAGUGGGGAAAAUCAAAGUCCCUGUAACACCAGGACUUCAAUCUGCUCAACCAGUGUGAAAUUUCAAGUGUUAUACGAGCCAAAUGAAACAUUUCACAUGAAAGAUUUUUCAGGAUUUUUCAAAUAUUUUGUGCCAAGCUUGGUAGUCGGAAGGGGGCGGGGCCAAGUGAUGUCAUGGAUAACGUCUGUUCAAAAUCAGAAACCUUAAAAUCAAAAUCUGUGUUUUUUUUUACAUUUAUGAAACAGACUGAAAUUCAUGUUACUGCAUUUCUAUGAUAUACUAAAGCAAGUAAGACCAUUAGUAAAAAUAUAAAAAAAGGAUGACUUCUAUACGAAAUGUUUGAUGCCUGAGACUGGUGUGAGGGGUAGGUUUCAUUAGAGCCCCUUAAAGGUGGGGUAUGCAGGAAACCGUUAAAGAAGCAUCUUUGUUUGUGGUGAAUUUACAAAAAAGCUUUUAAUAUCAGUCAAUAGCUAUUAGUUAUUGAUGACAUUUGGAAAUAUAAGGAUUUCACUGUGUUUUGUUAUGUCUGUGUAGUCAACAUUUUAAAUUUUCAUGCCCGCUCUUUCUGACUGUAAACAAAGCCAUUCUCUGCCUCCCCCAACCUGAUUGGUUGUGAGGCAAACGCUGCUCCCUCGUGUUGUGAGGCACAGUUCACGUCCUCCAAUAACGUUCACGAGCCCAAACAAAGUUAGCGUGCUACAACAUCAGACGGUAGAAACCAACCAGAAAGUUCGGAAAACACAAGCAAGAAAACAAAGUAAAUACCGGCGACUCUGGCGGAAUAACGGGCGCUUAAAAAGGAGGUAGACCAGACAAGAGCUAAAAAGCCGGGUCAACAUCAAUGAAGCAUAAACAACGGGGGGAACUUUGGGAUCUUCGUGACCCUGUAACCUUUCUGCUGGACAGGUAAACCGCUUUAACAAAGUAAGAUGAGUGUCUGUAACAGAAGUGUUUCUUGUCAAACGGGACCUGCUGCGUGUUUUGGCGCCGCUAAACUGUUGACCUGGGGUCCUGGACUAUGUCACUUUAUCCUCGUUGUAAAAGUCCUGUAAACAUUGUGUUUGCUGGUAGUCUGUUGACAUCUACAGUAGCACCAAUGCUUUUUACUUUAACGCUGACUGGGCCCCAUUUGUAAUUAUCUGAAGUAUUUAUCUGCAUAAUAUCUGAAAUUAAUUGAAACAGUACGAGUGAGAUAUUUUUAAAUGUUAAAGGUCGGCAGAAUCAUAUACAUCAGCAUGUAGAGGACAAGAUAAGUAAAGCCUGCUUUGUCCACAGGAGGCGCCAAAACUGACACAUCCUUAAAGUUCCUCACAGGAGCUUUAAAAAUGUUUUUAGUGACAUUACUUUGAUCAUACUCCAUGAGUAUUUCCUCAGAUGUAAAAUUUUGUCUCCUAUGUUAGUUAGCAUGUGUCUGUAUAUACAGUCAAUUUAGCUGUUUAACAAAAUUUAAUCUAUUGAGCUAGUUCAAUUGUUCUGACCAUAAACAAAAAUACAAAAAUUUAAUCAUGAACUAGUAACAGUAUGAUACGAUACAACACAGUCUAUUCUACAAAAGUGUUUGAGGUUGUUACCUCUUUAGUUUUUCAGGGUUGUUUGUUGCUCAGAUUGAAGUAUGAUUAAAGUAACAACAUCUUGGCCUGAUUUUCUGGAAACUCGGGGAGGAGGUGAAGCAGGCGCCGAGGAGCAUGUCAUUACAGUCUGGACAAGAUUCAACCCACAAAAAAGCAGCUCAGGAUCUCAAACAAGGAGGUAAACUAAAUUUGAUCUUGUUUUUGAUGCCACGCUCAUCAUUGUACAUACUAAAAUCUACUUGUUGACUGUUAUCAGGAGUUUUGCCUUUUUUAAAUUAGUGUAACUGACCCUUUAAGCCUAAAAAAAUGUCUACAGUGAGAAAUGAUGAUUUAGCAGAAAUACAUGACCUAUGGUGCAUCCCAGUGGGAGUUUGAUUACAACCAAAUGUUUUAUGGCUGAACUGAGUCUAAAGGUCAGGUUUUGUGUAACACUGACCAUACUUUCCCCAAAAACCUGAUUCAUGACUCUGAUAGGUGUGUCAGGAAGCAUUUUCCGUUCCUCAAAACCUCCUCUGAACUGAAUCAACUCUUUACACAUCAAACUUCACAUGACCUCUGACUUUGUAUCUUGAUUGUGCCGAUUUCUCCAGAGGAAAAGCAAACUGGUGAGAAAAAUGCUCCAGUCUAACUAUGAAUGGACCUGAUGUGGCAGAACAAAGUGCAGCAGUGUGUUUCAGUCGACAGAGCGGUGUUGAGAUGAAAGCGCCUGUCAUCUUGUGUCAAACAGGAUCGCUCCUUAAAGGCAGGCUGUAAUUAGUGAAGUACAGAUGUGUAUCUUAGUGGAAAUUGUGCAGCAGUUGAGAACGCCAUUAGAGCUCAGAGAUUGAAUCAGCACGCAGGGACGAUGUGAGCAGACGAAUGGCAUCGCUUUUGUGUUAUGUAACCACUCAAAGAGGUGAGGGAGGCGAAGAGGGCGAGAAACUAAAUACAGGAGCACAGCAGGGAGCCGUGGAGAGGAGUACAGUAAAGGUGAUGGCUAGGGAUGUGUAUACUCAGAGCUGUUUACCGUCUCCCACAGCUCCUGAUAAUUUCAGGUUUUUCACUGUAAGAGCCAGACUGCAGGCCGCCUGCGUGAGUGUCAGAGGAGGCAGCGAGGGACGUGACCUUGCAAAGAUAUUGUUAUAAUGUAAACAGCCAGGCUGCUCAGUCUGCCAGCUCAGCUACUGACCUGAUUCAGAGGGCAAGAAACAGGGCUUUCCUUUUUUAAACAUCACUGCUCCCAAAAUUACAACGUUUCAGAAUGUUAAUUCUGGACUUUUUGGGCCAAGUAUUUCUGUCUUGCAGAGUCACUGUUUAGAAAGACUAAACAUGAAAAAGGGUUUUCUAAGGAUUUAUUUUAACUAUGACAACAUGUUAAACUGGAGUGGGCAGCGCUGACAGCCUGGAAUAAACAUCUUUUUCUUGUGAAGUGUUUUCUUUUACUCUGACAGAAUACUAAACUACAAAUACUAAAUCAUAUAGAGUUAGAGAGAAAAACAUACACGCCCAGACACACUUUAAAAAUAUUUUGCAGCACUGAAAUCAGAUAAACAUGACCUAGAUCCAACCUCUAUUUGUCAAAAUGUACCACGUCUCAAAGCUAAUAUAAAAGACUGGAGGGUUAAUUAGAACCUGCAUUCAGUUAAAGUUUUACAGUAUGCUUUCAUUAAUUGUUAUAAAAUUUAAAGCUCCUAUGUGGAUAUGUGCCCUUUGACUAGGCCUGGGCGAUUUGGCAAAAAAAUAAUCACGAUAUAUUUUGUCAUAUCGUCCGAUCUCGAUUAUUAUCGUGAUUUUUUUUUUUUAAACUGCCAGUUUUAAAGCAUCUGUACUAAAAACUAAAGAAACUAGAGAUUAGAUCAACAUUUUAUUAACAUACAAAGUAAAUAACAAAGCAAAUUGAAUAGAAUACACUUAGACAAAGAUGAAGAAACAUUUUAACUCAACAGUAUAACAAAUGUUGAUAAAUGCUAAAUAAUACAGUGAAUUAGUGAGAUAAUGACGACGCCUUAAAUGUCAACAUUAGAUGAUGUAAACAUUGAUGAUACGAUUGAUUGCUGCUUUGGUCCGGUGGUUAGUUGUGGCUAAACUGCUAAGGCUACUUUUGUCAUCAGCAGUAACAGGCUGUACAGACUCUGCUCACAUUUUCAUCCUUUCAACAUGACCAAUCGGGAAGAACUUCUUCAAAUGAUUAAACAGAUUUGUUGUGUAGCCGGUUUUUGAGGGCAUCGACCGCAGACAUACCUUGCACAUCGGCGUAAUUGCUCGACGUCACUUUGGAGAUACUCGAACCACCGCCACACAACCAACGUUGAAUAACUUUUCUUCUCAACAAUUGCAUCAUCGGAGGAUGACUCAAAGUCACGGCUGACAUCUAUUUUGUUGCCCUCAGCUCUGCGUUUAGCUCCAUGUUCGGUCAUUCUGUUUACUUCUUCUGUUUACUUCUCCGGCAACUUACAGAAGUGGAGCAGGAAAAGCUCGACUCUGAUUGGCUGCUGUGUUGUGACGCACAUUUCCGCUGUGUUUGCUCGAGUAAAUAUGCUCGCAGCUGAUCACCGUAAUCGAACUGAAAUUUAUCACAAUCAUCGUAUUGUCUAUUUUGUAUGAGGAAACUUACCUGACACCUACCCCCUCAAACCACUUUUAGGCGUUAAAAACUACAACAUAAAAAUCCUUAAUCCUGUUGCUCUUGGUCUUAUUUGCUUUUGUAUGUCAUAAAAAGUCAUCCAUAUUAAUUUCAGUCAAUUUCAGAAACAUACAAAAAUUCCUCACAGGAGCUUUAAGAUAAAAAGAUAAUUUCUCAGCAACUUAAAGGAAUUUUUAUCUAUGUUUUUCAGCGCCCACGAUCGUUUGCUGAGUUUGUCCCGUACAUGUCUGAGAUCCAGAGAUGCCAGAUGAGAAUUUUCACCACAGACAACGGCAAAAAAAGCUGGUUUGGGAGCACGCCUUCUCCCUUGGCAGCAGUUUCAGGCAUUAAAAUCAACCACAGAGGAAUAGUUGAUCCUGUCACUGAUGAUCUUGCGUGCUUGUAUUGAUCACAUAGACGCGUCUUUUAGAGUUUUUGACUCUCUCUCGUAAGCAGUAAAAAAUUCCUCACAGUAGCUUUAAAAUUAAUGCUGUAAUAUUAAAGGUGAAUGCCUUUAGAAAGUUAUUAGGUUAACUUAUACUGUUAUGGUAGGAAAUUUGUCUUGGACUUCACAGUGCUCUGAAACAUCAGCAAAACAUCCACAUUCGUGUUUUGCAAUUAAAGGAUGCUUUUUACACCAUCACACCCCAGUGACUCAGUAAUCCAGAUAAAUUUACUCAAUUUCUUGAAUUUCUUUCGAAUCAUCAGAUUUCUCGGUUUCUCAACCCGCAGAGUCAUACCAACAUGAGAAGUCCUCCUUCAGCUCUCGCUUGUUUAUUUGUCUUCUUCCCCCUUUGUACCAAAACAAAAACCUGCAUCCUUCUGCUCUACAUCUGCCAAAGUAAUGUUAAUAGUCCUAUAAUAGCUAAUGGAUUGUUCUCAUAGUUUAUUCAGUACAUCCUCCUGCCUCUCUAUUGUCUUUGGCAUCUGGGAAACUGCUUACGAGGCGCCAGUAACAGCUUAGGUAAACUGUUGUGUCUGAUGCUUUUUCUUUUUUUAUCCCUAAUGGAUGAACAAAUACUCACUUGAAUGAUAUAGCUCAAUGUAUAUCUUUGUUUGAUUACAUAUCAAAUCAAAGCACUUGCUGGUAUAGUUUACUUAGAGGCAGCCAUAAUAAGUCAUACUGUAACACAAAAUCAAAGAGGAAUGAGUCUACAGCCACUUACAAGCACUUCCUGUUCCACUUGUUGCUUAAAUAAACAUGGAAAAAGAAGAUAAAUAUGGUACAUGGAGGUCAGGUGAGGAUACAAUCAGGAUAAGUGCACACAAACUCGAUUUUAGGUGUUUACGAAUCGGCCUGGAUCCAGUUACACUCACAUGAACACACACAUCUCUCUGUCUUUGUGUUUUAUAAAAGCACAUACACUCCCAGACACUCCUUUGCUGACUGAUCCUGCAAAGAAAAGGGAAGGAAGUGUUUGCUUACGCACAAUCAGCUGAUGACCAGCAUAGUGUUUCCUGUUCUAAUGACCUUCUGUCCACACUAUGUAAUCCCCCUGUAUGUAGUAAUAAUGUUUGUAAAAUAUGAAUGAACCACUCGUGGUGAGCUUUGGUAAGGGAAGUCGAGUGAUCUGGCUUUUUUUUUCUGUCUGUUUCCUGUAAAAUUAUUUUCCAGCAGAGAGAGAUCUGCAGCCAAGGACGAGAUCAACCCAAAUACCAGCAUGUUGAUCUGUGUACAGACAUAACACACGAAUGCAAGGCUUGUGUCAAAGUAUAACAGGCUACCUCAGCUUAAUGGUAGUACAUGGUUGCUUGCUGCCACCUGCUGGACAAAACUUGGAUUACAGCAAAAUGGAGGCAAUUCAGUUUAAGGCUGGUUGUUUGUAGCAGGUUCAAGUGAUUGACAUAGAGUAAAUAUGUUAGAAUUCUGGAAAUGUAAAUAAAACAAGUAUAAUAAAUGUACAACACAAGCUGAAUGAUGCUUACACUCACUUACCCACACAUACACACACACAAGCGCACACAGUGUGAGAAUUUAAGAUAUAUUGUUAAGGAGACGUGGCCUGACACCGAGACUUUAUGUGAGAAAAGAGCUACCUCUGAGAAACACUUGAGAUAAAAGGAUAAAAAAUAGAAAAUGGUAAAAGAAAAGAGUAAAACCUGAUGGACUAAAACAAGAAAAUAACAUUAAAUGAACAGAUGAGAAAGAGCUCUUUACCAUGUAAAAGGGGUAAAAGAAGUAAAAAAACCUCUAUGACAGGAGUUAAGAAAAAGAUGAAGACCAGAGAUAGUUAAUAAAAUGACAUGAAAUGAACAAUAAGAACUUUGAUUAAAAUGAGCAUUUGCAACAAGAGAAAUAUAAAAAGGCAGUCAGUGAAAAGCCUGGUUAAAAAGGGGAGUCUUGAGUAUAAAACAUCCAACUCAAGCACAGUUAUGGCCCUGAACCGUAUGUUAGAACAAACCUUACAAGAAAUCAAAGGUCUUUGUUGGCACAACUGAGAACAGGAAGCCUCCCCUUGAAUCUUGAAAUUGGCAGACUUAAAAAUAUUCCAGAAGAUGACAGGCUGUGUGAAUUAUGUGAACUCAGUGAAGUGGAAAGUGAAUCACAUUUACUGUUAUAUUGCCCUUUGUAUGCUGAACUGAGAGCUUCAUCAUUUACGGAAAUGUGUGUUAAAAACCCAGAAAUUUUCUGGUGCCCCGAUGAUGAUAGAAUGAACUGGUUGUUCAACUUUAAUGUCUUUAAAUUAGCUUAUUUUGUCUCUAAAGCCUGUCUCUAAAACGUCAGGAGUGCUUAUAUGCUUAAUUUGUUAUGUCUGUUAUCUGUCCGUCAUCUUGUUGCUAUUAUAUGUCCUGGGCACUUUCUGUGCAUGACACAAUAAUAAAAUAAAUGAAUGAAUGAAUAAAACAAAUUUAAAAUGAUCUUUUUUGGUCUAAACACAAUUCUAAUCAAACUUAUGGCAGACUAAAUUCACUUUCAAGAGUGAAAAAUGUUUUUAUUUUCUUGGAAAUAAAUGUCUAACCCCUUCAUCCAUGUGCCUCUAACCUUCAGACUCCAUGAAUUGAUGCCCAUAUCCUAAAUAUUUGGUGACAUGAUCAAUUUCUUUUACCAUUUCCAAGCAACAGGGGGUGGCUCAACUUACCCCACUCUCCCCUAUGUUAUCCAGAGGCACACAGCAAAUUAAGGUUGUAAUAUUGAAUUAAACUCAUAACUUACAACUGUGAUGGAGCUGGCUCAGGCAGUCCUUGUGUUCAUCCUCCUCAUCAUCCAUUUUGAUGUGGAAAAACUGUCUCCAGCACUUAAGCUCUCUCCUGCCUCGAGUAUCAUCCGAGCUAUGAUUGUUUGCCAUAACUCUUUGUCUUUUAUUUUCUCACAAAUCCUGCAAAUAUUUCAAAGUAUCAGUAACGGUUUACCCUUAUCUGUACUUGGGCCAUUUUACAGAGUGGGUCUAAGGUCAGCAUCCUUGAUAAUGAGCUUUAGGUAAGUCCAAAGACCAGUGAAGGCCUGUGUCUUAACUAAUAAACAACUAAAGAGAUAUAGACUCUUAAAUGGUUUAACUCUUACGAGUCAUGAACAGCACGUUGAUGACACAGCAAUUUUAUCGUACGUGUACCUGUGAGUAAACUAAUACCUGUUAGUCCACCUGGUUUGUGAAAAAUACAUUUUUUUCCGGCCUACCGGAGCAACCGGUAUUCAUAAUCUAACACACAAACAACGGAGGGUGGGCGCAAUCUCUAAAGAAACCAAUCAGAGCCC